rnacentral:snRNA from 1 species
AUCACUUCUCAGCCGUUUGGUUAAGAUCACGUGUAGUAUCUGCUUUUAUCAACCUAA